rnacentral:rRNA from 1 species
UCUUGAAACACGGACCAAGGAGUCUAACAUGUGCGCGAGUCAUUGGGAACUAUUAAGCCUAAAGGCGCAAUGAAAGUGAAGGUCGGCCUUGCGCCGACCGAGGGAGGAUGGGCCGCGUCACGAUGCGGUCCCGCACUCCCGGGGCGUCUCGUUCUCAUUGCGAGAAGAGGCGCACCCAGAGCGUACACGUUGGGACCCGAAAGAUGGUGAACUAUGCCUGGUCAGGACGAAGUCAGGGGAAACCCUGAUGGAGGUCCGUAGCGAUUCUGACGUGCAAAUCGAUCGUCGGAACUGGGUAUAGGGGCGAAAGACUAAUCGAACCAUCUAGUAGCUGGUUCCCUCCGAAGUUUCCCUCAGGAUAGCUGGCACUCGCUCUUAUACGAGUCUCAUCUGGUAAAGCGAAUGAUUAGAGGCCUUGGGGCCGAAACGACCUCAACCUAUUCUCAAACUUUAAAUGGGUGAGAUCUCUGGCUUGCUUGAACGGUGAAGCCACGAGAUUUCGGAUCAGAGUGCCAAGUGGGCC